rnacentral:misc_RNA from 1 species
GAUGAAGAACGUAGCGAAAUGCGAAAAGUAGUGUGAAUUGCAGAAUUCAGUGAAUCAUCGAAUCUUUGAACGCACAUUGCGCCCCUUGGUAUUCCAUGGGGCAUGCCUGUUCGAGCGUCAUUUGUACCCUCAAGCUUUGCUUGGUGUUGGGCGUCUUGUCGUAUUACGACUCGCCUUAAAUACAUUGGCAGCCGGCACUUUGGCCUAGGAGCGCAGCACAUUUUGCGAUCGUAGCCCGUUGUACUGGCGUCCAUCAAGAACAUUUACCACGUUUGACCUCGGAUCAGGUAGGGAUACCCGCUGAACUUAAGCAUAUCAAUAAGCGGAGGA